UUCUUCUUCGUCCUAACCUUCUUCCUGCUCUUCACUUCUCCCGCUCCACCCACCUUCAUUUUCUUCUGUCUUAAUUAUGAAAAGAGGCAACGACUUAUGUGUGUUAGAGGUUUCUAAAAGCUCAAGCAAAAAAAAGAGGAGACAAUUAAUCCAUUUAUUUACAACAUUAAAACAUAUAGAUAUAACAUCUAUGGAUCUUGAUUGUCACUUAGUCCAAUUCGGCCGUUUAUGGAUCUUGAUUGUAACUUAGUCCAAUCCGACCUAUGCGACAUGAGCUAAAUGAUGGCCUACCUGUACACUUCAUAGCAUAGGAUAAUCGAUCCCUCACUUAGAGUUGGCUUGGUGGAGGGAUGAAUAUUCUCCCCACAAUACUUUAUAGAGUAAAUGUUAUUUGUAAAAAAAAAAAUUUACUGAUAUUUUAUUGUGUCAUAAUUGAAAGUACGGAAAGAGAAUAAAGAAAUAAGAAUAGAGUAAGAGAUGAAAGAGAGUGAGAGAAAGGGAGGAGAGAGAAGCGAAUAGAGAGAAUAACAAAAAUAGAAAGGAAGAUGAAUAAGAGAGAAGUGAAGAGGGAGAAGUUAAGAAGAUAAAAUAAGGAGAUAGAAAGUGAAGAAAGAUAAAAUAGUAAGAGAGAAUGGAUGAGGAGAGGGAAGAAAGAGAGAUAAAGCAAGAAAAGAGGAGUAAGAAAGAAAGUGAUGAGAGAGAAAGAGAAAAUAAGAAGAGAGAAAAUAAAGAAAGAGUUCAAUACUUGCUGACGCUUCACUUUCAAAUUAAACAUAGUAUAUUGUCUUUUUUUUCAAGCAGGGAAAGUAUAACAUCCAAAGUAAAGAGAGAGAGUGAAAGAGAAAAAAAUAAAGAGAGAGAAAAUAAAGGGAGAGAAAAUACAGAGAGCGAAGGAAAGAAACACUGAGAAAAAAAAAUAAAGAUAGAGAAACCAAAUAGCGAUUAAAUAAGGAAUGAGAAAGUGAUGAGAGAAAAAGGAAUUUGGAGAUAGAAAGAUAGAAAAAAUAAUGUAUGGAAGAGAGGUGAGAAAGUGAAGAAAGAAAUAGAAGCGACAAGGAAAAGAGAGAAGGUGAAAAGAGAAAGCAAAUAGAAAGAAAAAAGAACAGAAUGAGAGAGAAAGUAAGGAGUAAACAUAUAAAGAGAGAUGAAAUGUUC
rnacentral:lncRNA from 1 species